AUUGCAGGCUAUUCGUGAGGGAGUGAUUGGAGUUAAACCAUGUAGCUAUCAGUUGUAGUUGUACUUUUGAAAUUAUGUGUUCAAAAACCAAAUUGUUGCAGGCAUGUCAUGGGUAGUUCAAGAUGCAGUGUCAAUACCCAAUACAGAAUGCUACUGCUUCCACACUAUUUCUGCGUUCACUGCUCUGUCAUUCGCCUGUGAAGCUACAAAAAAGCCACUUCCGUCUCCCGUGGCUGAGAUAAUUGCAGAGCUUCCUCCAAAGGAAAACACAUUUGAUUCCGAAACUAUAGAAUACAUAAUGAUGCAGCACGAGUCGAGAGAUUUUUACUCAGUUGGUCUACACAAUUCUUGCAAAGAGAUUGAAGGUGUUUUUAUUGAAUUGCUGGAAGAACAACGCGAAAACAAGCAAUGGGCAAUUGGUCCAGUAUAUCCAGUGGAAAUUUCAAAGAGAAAAAGCUCUGAACUAACUCAUGAAUGUUUUUCAUGGCUUGAUAAACAAGAUCUAAAUUCAGUGAUUUAUGUUUCAUUUGGAUCGACAACUACGUUAUCGAAAGAACAAAUUAACGAGCUGGCAUUUGGAUUAGAACAAAG
rnacentral:misc_RNA from 1 species